GUUUAAAGUUCAUUUUAGAUAGCUUCUAAGAGUAAAAUUCGAUGCAUUCUGCUCCUUUUUUAAAUCAAUAUGUGCUUAUUGCUUCUAGUUUUUAUGUUAAUUUCAGUUCAAGCAAGAAGAAAUGAAUGCGAUCACGAAUGACUUUGCUGAACCUGGAUCACUUGCUCCAACUGGAUUAUACCUUGGUGGCACAAAAUACAUGGUGAUCCAAGGUGAACCGGGAGCCGUUAUUCGAGGGAAGAAGCUUAUCGGAAUCUACGAUGAACCAAUGUCUCCCGGCCAGUGCAACAUGGUUGUCGAAAAGCUUGGUGAUUAUCUCCUUGACCAGGGUGUUUGAUCUCUGUUGGUGUUCCUUAUUUGUUCAAUUCUUCUUUAUUUCUAUACAAACCCAUAUCCUCCAUUUCCCGAUUCCAUGGUUGGAUGCAGUUGAAACUCGACGGAAUCUGUUUCCGAAACCAAAUGGUCGGUGUUUGUAAUGGUGAUAAAACAAUGUGUUUUCUACUCAUUUUGGAUUUUGGUUUGGGUGGUUAAAUGAAGUGUUCUAGGUGGUUUAUACCAUAGUUA